UAAGAGUUACCCUUUUGCCUAAGUUGUUGGUGGGGGAUAAAGUACAUUCAUAAAUACACAUGCACACCCUAGCAGGCACAUUGCGCCAGACAACACAAUGUUUUGAAAGUAGUCUCAAAUUGUUAAUUGGAUGUUAUAUUUCUGACACUUCUUCUUGCUUUUCAUCAUAGGAUCAUGAGUCCAUCUCCAUUUUGCUAAGAAAUCAUGAUCAAAUGGAAUGGUGGAGGCCUCUCUGGUAAAAGGGGAGCCUGAAAUUGACACAUAGAAAGUUGAACUUGGAAGCAGAAAGCUCUCCGACUUGGAUUCUGAAACAAGGUCCAUUGUGGAGAAGAUGAUGUUUGACCAAAGGCAGAAAUGGGCUUGCCAACAAGUGAUGACUUGCAUGAAGAAUUUUAUGUCUGAGGUGCCAGGUUCCAGAAGCUUCAGAGGCUUCCAACAAAAAUUUGCCUGCUGCUGCUAUGGAUCCAACCAAUAAUUUUGAUGCAGUGGCUUUUGCAUAUGAAAACAAAGGAAGAUCAUUGCAAGGUGUUGUGGAGCAGGUUCGUGAUGGUAGCACAGUGCGAGUCUACUUGCUACCUGAGUUUCAACAUGUUCAGUUUUUUGUGGCUGGAAUCCAAGUACAUAAGCCAGCAAACAAGUCUGAUAUUAUUGGUUUGCUUGAUAGAGGAUACUUGUGCAAAACAAGUUGCAAGCAUCUCAAUAGAAAAAGGAGCGUUUUAGAAGCUUGUCUGCUAUAUGCAAAUACGACUUUAUCACGACAUUUCUCAUUUAUCAUCUUUAUUGCAUUAACCAAAACAUCAUAAUUGUCCGUCUUUUGCCGAUAUUUUUUACCAUAUGAUUUUUUAUACCUUGGGGGACCGUGCGCGCUAGCGCACUGUCCAACAACUAGUAAUCACAAAAAAGCAGAGAGAGUAUAGUU